UUAUAUAAGAUAAGAUAUAUAAGAUAAGAUAUAUAAGAUAAGAUUCGCACCAUUCCACAAAAACGCUGCACACUUGUGCUUCCAACUUUUGAUUGAGCUUCCCAUCAAGUGUCGCUGUCUGGUGGUGCGGUAUGCGCGCUGGACUGUCGUUUGGACCGAGACCCUGACCGCUGCCAUCCCCCGUCGUCCUGUGGAACAUCCGAAACAUGGAAAACAUUGGUACAUAACAAACAAACAAAGUGUACGCUAAUAAUUAAAAAGCUUGGAAAAACAACAACCAAAGUCAACAACAGAAACAUUUGGUCGAGCU